CACCCAGACUCCUACGGGAGGCAGCAGUGAGGAAUAUUGGUCAAUGGGCGGAAGCCUGAACCAGCCAAGUCGCGUGAGGGAUUAAGGCCCUAUGGGUCGUAAACCUCUUUUGUCAGGGAGCAAGGUCGUCCACGUGUGGGCGUAUGGAGAGUACCUGAAGAAAAAGCAUCGGCUAACUCCGUGCCAGCAGCCGCGGUAAUACGGAGGAUGCGAGCGUUAUCCGGAUUUAUUGGGUUUAAAGGGUGCGUAGGCGGAGUGUCAAGUCAGCGGUAAAAUUUCGGGGCUCAACCCCGUCGUGCCGUUGAAACUGACACCCUUGAGUGAGUGAGAAGUAAGCGGAAUGCGUGGUGUAGCGGUGAAAUGCAUAGAUAUCACGCAGAACUCCGAUUGCGAAGGCAGCAUACCGGCGCUCAACUGACGCUCAUGCACGAAAGCGUGGGUAUCGAACAGGAUUAGAUACCCCGGUA
rnacentral:rRNA from 1 species